rnacentral:piRNA from 1 species
UGGUUCUUCUUUGUGCACAGCUACUUACUU